rnacentral:rRNA from 1 species
GUGUGCCUUGGUAGUCUCAGGGCGUGCCUAAUACAUGCAAGUCGUAAACGAGGUGCUUUUUGUAGCAAUACGAAAGUAUCCUAGUGGCGAACGGGUGAGUAACGCGUUGGUGACCUACCCCAAAGUGUGGGAUAACAGUUCGAAAGAACUGCUAAUACCGCAUGUGGUUAUCGGGUUUAGAAACUGAUACUAAAGGAGCAAUUCGCUUUGGGAGGGACCUGCGUCCCAUCAGCUAGUUGGUGAGGUAACGGCUCACCAAGGCUACGACGGGUAGGGGACCUGAGAGGGUGACCCCCCACAAUGGAACUGAAACACGGUCCAUACACCUACGGGUGGCAGCAGUAGGGAAUAUUGCACAAUGGGCGAAAAGCCUGAUGCAGCAACGCCGCGUGUGCGAUGAAGGCCUUCGGGUCGUAAAGCACUUUUCUGAGAGAUGAGCAAGGACAGUAUCUCAGGAAUAAGUCUCGGCUAACUACGUGCCAGCAGCCGCGGUAAAACGUAGGAGGCGAGCGUUAUCCGGAUUCACUGGGC